rnacentral:rRNA from 1 species
CAGGCUUAACACAUGCAAGUCGAACGCAUCCUUCGGGGUGAGUGGCAGACGGGUGAGUAACGCGUGGGAACGUGCCCUUCAGUUCGGAAUAACCCAGGGAAACUUGGGCUAAUACCGGAUACGUGCGAGAGCAGAAAGAUUUAUCGCCGAAAGAUUGGCCCGCGUCUGAUUAGCUAGUUGGUGAGGUAACGGCUCACCAAGGCGACGAUCAGUAGCUGGUCUGAGAGGAUGAUCAGCCACAUUGGGACUGAGACACGGCCCAAACUCC